rnacentral:rRNA from 1 species
AUGGCUGCUCAUCCUCGACCUCGGCCCGCAUCUGCAUCGGCCGCGACGGCGGCGGCCACUCCUGCCGUGCCGAGCGCCGGCUCGCCGCCGCCCACUGCUCCAGCCCCCGCGGCUGCCCUCGCCUCCCGCCGCACCGACCCUCGACCUCGGCCCGCAUCUGCGUCAGUCGCGACAGCGGCGACCACUCCUGCGGGGCCGAGCGCCGGCUCCCCGCCGCCCACCGCUCCAGCUCCCACGUCUGCUCUCGCCGCGGCCGCCCUCGCCUCCCGCCGCUCCGGCCCAGCCGUCCAAGGGCGAAGGGUGGCACAUUCGCUCCUCGAGAAGGAGGCGAUGACAUCGGUUUCGACAAAGACCUCCGCUCCUGCUACAGCCUCCGUCCUUCCACCGUCGUCUCCGGGAGCACUCGUCUCCGACUCGUCCCCGACAGCGCCCGUCUCUGACGCGUCCCCGACAGUGGCCCGUCUCCAUCUGGAGCUCGACUCACCUCUGCUCCAGUGCGCACCAUGUCCUUCAGAUAUGGCAACCGUGGCCUUAGACAUGGGGCGGCCUGUGUCUUGGGCUACCCUCGCUGACGAGGAUGUUGAGGAUGAGGAAGAGGAGUUGGCCCCGUUGACACCACGGCGGCCACAAGCUCUGUCUCAGCAGCUCCGCCGACUGAACCCUGUGUGA